CCGUAAUCGCAGCCGCAGUCUGUGAUCUGUCACUCUCUCAACCCCCACUCUCCCAAACCCUCACUCAUCUGUGCCUCUCACUCUCUCAACCUCUCACUCUGUCAACCCCUCACUGUCGCAUCCCUCACCUCUAUUGCGUUCAGAUACCUACAAAAAAAGGAGCCCUCAAUGCUGAACCCAGUUACUCAUUCCAAAUUUCCGGUUUCCUUUAAAGAUUAUGGCUGCUGCUGUAACUGCGAGAACUGUUCGUGUUGUCAUUGUUGUUUUUGAUGGACCCAGUAGCUUUAUUGCUUAACUAGGAUAACAUUUUCAAGUGGCAUCCACGUCGCUUGUUCCCUCUUUACCCAUCAGGCC